UACAGAGGGGGCAAGCGUUAAUCGGAAUUACUGGGCGUAAAGCGUGCGUAGACGGUUAUGUAAGUCGGGUGUGAAAGCCCCGGGCUCAACCUGGGAAUGCCAUUCGAGACUGCAUAGCUAGGGUGCGGAAGAGGGAAGCGGAAUUUCCGGUGUAGCGGUGAAAUGCGUAGAUAUCGGAAGGAACACCAGUGGCGAAAGCGGCUUCCUGGUCCAGCACCGACGUUCAGGCACGAAAGCGUGGGGAGCAAACAGG
rnacentral:rRNA from 1 species